rnacentral:rRNA from 1 species
AUUGAACGCUGGCGGCAGGCCUAACACAUGCAAGUCGAGCGGAUGAAGGGAGCUUGCUCCUGGAUUCAGCGGCGGACGGGUGAGUAAUGCCUAGGAAUCUGCUUGGUAGGGGGGGAUAACGUCCGGAAACGGGCGCUAAUACCGCAUACGACCUGAGGGAGAAAGUUGGGGAUCUUCGGACCUCACGCUAUCAGAUGAGCCUAGGUGGGAUUAGCUAGUUGGUGGGUUAAAGGGCUACCAAGGCGACGAUCCGUAACUGGUCGGAGAGGAUGAUAAGUCACACUGGAAGUGAGACACGGUCCAGACUACUACGGGAGGCAGCAGUGGGGAAUGUUGGACAAUGGGCGAAAACCUGAUCCAGCCGUGCCGAGUGUGUGAAGAAGGUCUUCGGAUUGUAAAGCACUUUAAGUUGGGGGGAAGGGCAGUAAGUUAAUACCUUGCUGUAUUGACGGUACCAGGAAAAGAAGCACCGGCUAACUACGUG